GUCCUCGUAGCUCAGUAGGAUAGAGCAACUGCCUCCUAAGCAGUAGGUCGUUGGUUCGACUCCAAUCGAGGACGCCA
rnacentral:tRNA from 1 species